ACAUGGUUUUUCCCUAUCUCGCUCUGUGAUUUUUGCCCGGUUGAGCCGCCAUCUUGGAUUUUCAAAAUAUGUCACGCCGGUUGAGCCGAGUCAGCAAUCUAGGUCUCCUAUAUCUAUGCCUAAAAUAUACAACCUUUAAUCCAAAAUAUUCUUUAUAGUAACGCCAUUGUUGAGAUUCAGUCUCCAAGUUUCGAAAUGGAUUGGUUGUUGGGUUGGAUUCAUCAAAAAUUUCUUGCAGCCCUGGCACGUUUUGAUAUUCCAUAUUUGCGUUGUUUAGACAAUCUUUUACUUGUGAUUCUACGAUCGACAGUGUGUUGCGAAGGAACGUUUUUGUGUUGGCUAUGAUAUUUUGGACAGUAGACCUCGGCAACGAGAGAUCUUCUUGAAUCUUUAAGAUAUAUAAUGCAGCUG
rnacentral:lncRNA from 1 species